CGUUUCUCUUCACCCGCGCGUUUCUUGCGCCUCCAUCUUCUUCUUCCUCACCAUUUCUGUGUGAAACAUCUGAGGUUCUUCUCCAGCCUCCUCAGAUUCAUCAAUGGCGGAUUGGCAACCCGGCAUUAUCCCACACCCUCCGCUGGUUUUCUCUACCAGGAGGUGAACAGAAGCAAGCAGCCGGUGGGUUGUCUUCUUCAUCGUCUACCCGAGCAGAAGCAUAGGUGAAUGUCAUGCGGACUCCUCAGCCACAGGGGUGUUGAGAGGCAUCAUCUACCAUCCGGAAGGCAUCCUCCAGCCUUUGUGCAAUGCCUACAUGGCGGUGUGAAGAUCUAAGAUGCAAUCGACCAUCUGACGGGCAUAAAACCAGCUAAGUUUGUUUUUCCAGCGUCAUUUCCUCUUGUAGUGACUGUAAAUCGCCUCCCAAAUCGUUCGUAUACCGUGGGACCCUUCUGAAAUCCGUGAGGAUGACCUGAGGAACGAUCGAAGCGAAGGAGAAUCGAUUAGCGGGUCGUUUGGAGGAUGAUCGAGCCUCUUUUUGAGUCUUCGGUUGAAACAGGCCUACCACAGCCAGUCUCAGUACGAGCUUAAAUCGAAGGGUCAAUCGGCCAUAACUUUUGGGGGUUUUGAUACUGUUCCCUUCCCACCGAAUCAAGCCUUCUAUUGGAAGUGGAAUCGCUUCAAUCCGUUCAGUAUUGAGUGAGUUACGAGCUUGAGAAGUCGGAGUAGGUUCUGUCAAGCAAUUCCGCCGACCAGUUCCUUUUUCCGGCAACAUUUCCGGCGUUCCAACCGUCGGAUCUUCACGAUUCCGGUGCCAUUCGAUUCCCAACAUCCUUGAGAUCAUCUCCACCAAGUUUGACGUCGAUCGGACCGUAGAUGGCGUCUCUGGAGGCGACUGUCGGAAUCUGGCGGGAAUAGGCGGCGAUCAUCCCUGUUUCUCCGCCACAGGUGGCUGCGACCCAAUAUUCGCUUAGAACAUUGGGAAUACAGCACCACCGGGUGAUCUAUUGACUCUAGCUUGUUCCAAAUUUGAUUAUCUGUCGAUUUCAAGUGGUUUCAUGUCUUGAUUUGAUCGCAUUGGGGCGGAGUGGCGAUUUGAAGACCUCCGGCUGUUCUUCUGCGCGGCGGCAUUUCCAAAAACAGGCGACUGAACUACAGCAACUUUGGGGAUCAAGGACUGGGGUCUAGACUGCUCCGAUUCAGCUCAAAUUUGGAGCGUCUACUCCUUGGCUAGUGAUCUUGCUACAGUCCAAAUUUCAGAAUUUUUGGAGGUGUCUAUGGAUUGUUAUGAAUUUUUGAGCGAAGACCUCUCAGGCAGUCCUGAAGCUGUUUUGCGCCUGAUAAAUUUCUGAACGGAGGACAGAACGUGCGCGAUUUUCAGAGCUCAACGACCUGGCCUUAAGCUCAACGGAUUUGGCUCAAACUUGGGGCGUCCACUCCUGAGGAUGUCUACUUUUUGCUGACCAAAUUUGGGGAUUUUUGGAGCCUCCUGUGAUUUUCUACGAAUUUUCGACUGGAGGUCACUUUCUGUCAGCGCCUGAACCUGUCGUCUUCGUUUUUCAGAACAGAGGCCGACCCUCUACGCUACCCCGAUCUCGUUUCUUCGAUAUUGGGAAAACGAGCAUCUCUGGUGAUUUCAGCUCCUUGAAUCCUUUGUUUUCUACUGAUUAUAUCCUGGAUUUGAUCGUGCUUGCACUUGUUUUGGUGGAGCAUACCCCUGCUGCAACGAGGAUGGGCUGCAACCUGUUAGCAUAGACUGCAACAGUCCGUGAGCAGCAACCUUUGAGUUGAAGGGUGCGCGUCGUCACCAGUUCGACGCCUGCUUCCCCCUUAACAGCACACAAAGAGGUGUUUAGAUCGCAUCCUGUGAGGCAUUUCAUACUUUGGCUCUGUUGUUAGAUUACUGUUUUGCUGUAACAGUAAUCAGUGCUUCCAUUGUUGCUGAGGUGAACCGUGAGCCAUCAAGCGACCGGUGAGUUGGGGUCGUGGAGCUUGCUGUCCAGCUUGGGCGAGGAGGCAUUUGCUGAGUACCGAGGCUUAGUUUCUGGUGUUCCAGCCUCGGUGGAUAGCUCGGACUAGCUCCGAGGAGGUUUUUUACCCUGUCCCACUAUAGCACGGGGAGGGUGUUCUUGCUUACAAACCCGCCUACACGGCGCGCGGCAUAGUGAGGUCCUCGAAGGCUCGAUUAGCCUACGACACACCUCCUUGCGGCUUGGCCACCUAGGGGUUGAGGGUGUGGUUUGUGCGCUUAGACAUGUAUGUUUAUGAUGAAUGCUUGGAUGUGAAUGUGGUUGAGUGAGGUGAGCGUUUAAGUUGUAUCGUCGUGGUUGUAUUAAGCCUUGAGGCCCUUAGCAUUCUUGUAGUAGGAUUGGCCAUUUGGGUUCGGGAAACACUCUUGUAAUUCUGUCCUAACUUGGGAAAUUAAGCCGGGGUUGCUGUCCGGCAGGGAAAGAGUGUAAAGUCUUCUUAAUACUUAGCCUAACCAGAGCCUGCCCCAAGAGAUCUUGGGAAGGGAGUUCGGCAUUCGGCAGCGAGCUUAGGCAGUCCUAGCCGGGUUCCCACCAGUUUGGUAUCAGAGCACCUUGGGGGCUGAUUGAGCAGCUAUGGCAAAGAAGAAGAACUCAAGAGUUGAGCAACAGGAAAUUGAUUUGGGCGUCGAAGAUGCAGCCACCGAAUCACUUCAAGAGGGGCUGAUUGAGCAGCAUGGUUACACUGAUUUAUAUUUUAGAAUGUAUAUGAAUAUUGAAGCUUUUACGCCUUGGUAUUUACUUUGUGUGUUUGUUUCUCUUCAUUAGUCAAGCCUUUCUGAAUGGGUCGAACCUAGUUAGCUGAAUUAUUUUGCAAACAUAUAUUAGUCAUCGAUUUGUUUUUUCAUUAUUUGUCUUUGGUCGUUGACAUUCCUUAUAUCAUAGGCAUUCAGUAUUUUUGAAGGUCCUCUGUUUCUGUUGAGUCAAUACAACAUUUAGUUUUGGUAUCAACUCUUUACAAAGACAGGUCUAACCUGUAAGAACUACAAAAAUCAUUCUCUGUUUCAGAGUCAGAGGACUUAUAACGUUCUGAUCUGGGAUAAAGUUCAAUUUGGGUUUGAUUGUUGGUUUGAAGUUUCUUGUGUGAAAAUCAGCCAACAAAAUUUCAAAUUUUUUUCAACUUUGAUUAUUUUGAUAUAUUGUUGUUAAACUUUUCGCUGUUUCUAUUUCUCACAAACAAAAAAUUUGAAAACUGAGCUCUAUUUCUUGUUUUUUGAAUUCUAUGUAGGAAACAGAUUUUUCAAUUUUACUUUUUACAAAUUUUUUAGUGAAAUUUUCUAGUUAUUAUUAUUAUUAUUUAUUUAAGGCUCUGUAUCCAUAUCAAAGCCAAUACUCCAACCUACACAGUUUUAGACCUUUUGUUUAGUGGGGGGAAUUGUGAUUUUUUAUAUAUUUGUGUGUUAUUGCUAGAAAAAUUAUCUAGUAAGGUUUUUGAUUGCCUUAUUUUGUUGGAACCCUUCCUCACUUGGGUCUCCUCUAGAGUUAGAGCACAAGCCUGUUCAUGUUUAUGAGAAGCAGUGGGCUGCCGAACCACUAGGUCCUUGCUUUAGGAUCUCAUGGAGUCACUCUUCCUUGGAGUCCUUGGUGAGUCCGAGGGUAGGGAUGUGGUGCGACCUCUAGGGUGAGAAUAAGGAGGGAGGCAUAAUGCGCAUGGGUGCUUAGGGACUUGGUAGGGAUUCAGCUUGGCUACGUGGGUGCUAAAGGAGAGGGGCAUGGAGGGAUGGGAGUGAUUGAAGUCGGGGGGCUAUACAUGAGAGUGAGAGAGAGAGAGACACUUUGUUUUGUUUCUCACUUCAAGCCUCUUGAAAAGGCUAGCCCCUUUCUCUCUUGAGUGCAUAGGACACUUGAAUAUGCUUUUCUGUGGGGGAGGCUCUUUCUGUCUUCAUAAUUGUUGAUGGUGCAGUAGAACAAUGAGGUAAUAGGAUGAUCUAUACAGAUGUGAUCAUUGGUUCUGCAUGCAUUGUAUUUUCUCCUAAAAUUGGUAGCCAGUUGAAGGGGGUUGUGAAGAAAUUGAUUAGAAGCAUUUUAUCACCUCCUCCAGUGCAUCAAUGUAUCAGUGCAAUUUUUGAAAUUAUGAUCUUAUGUUGCUUUUCAGGAUUUGUGGACUAAUUGGAAAACUUUAGAUAGGGAUUUGCAUUUGAGUUUGUAUAAUUAAACUUGUUUAGGUAUGAAGCUCAAUUUGUGCUGGCACAUGUACAUGGUUCAUCUCUUUUUUUUUUCCAUUUUUUUAUUGCAGAUAGUUGAAUUUGGCAUCCUUCAUAUAUUUCUGCUAUGUAUUCUUGACAUACUUCUAAAAAUUUAAGUUAUUCAACCACUGUUUGUAGGACCUCUCAAGUAUUGGUGCAAGAGAAGCAAAGUUGAUGUGCUGGUUUCCAAUUUAGCCACAUGGAAUGACGAUGUUGUUUCUAGUUCUUUAGAUAGUGUUGGCUAUUGGGUUGAGGGCUUGCCAUUUGUGCACUCAUUGAGUGGUUACUGGAAAUUUUAUUUGGCAACUAGCCCCACAAGAACACCUAGGAGGUUCUAUGAAAGUACAUUCAAAGAUAUAAAUUGCGAAGAGCUACCAGAAUGUUGAUAUAGAUAACUUUGAUGACUUUGGCACCUAUUUGUAUACAGCGCCUGAGACUUCCUGCUUGGGAACAGGCUUUGCUGAAAACGAGCUAAAAUGCAUAGAUAAUGAGGAGACAGACAAUGCAGCUCAAAGGUUGACGAUUUUAAUUGUUAAUAUGUUCAACAAUUAGUUUCUCAUUGUGAAUUCCUCUAGCACAUGCUAAUUUAGUGCUUCUAUUAGAAAUAUAUGCACAUGAAUAAGCAUUUUAUACUUAAGUUCGUCAUAAAGAACUGUUUUUUCUUCUAGUGUUAUGUUAAUUUCUUUUUCCCAAAAUAAUUACUUAUUUACUCUCUAGUCUCUGCUUUCAAAUGAAAUCAUUCAGGGUGUAUCUUGCAAGCAGGAUAUGUUCAGCAAUUCUUGUAAAUUUGAAGUUCAUUUCCUUCUUGUCUGCAUUGUCCAUUAUGUUAUUGUGUAUUUCCCACAUUAACUUACGACAGUCUUGUUCUUACUUGGUUUUUCUCUUCUCCAACUUGGCUCCCUAUUAAGUACAUGAUGUGCAUCCAGCGUUCUAGCCAUAUAUUGGUGCUGUUUGUUAUGUUAAAUUAAUCAGUGGUGAUCACAAUGCCUCUCUGAUAUUAUAAUACUGUGAUUUGCUAGUGAGCUAAGAACAAGUUGGCUUUGUUUGAUUUAAGUGGUUUUUUAUUAAUAAAUAUUGCUACUAUUGUUGCUGUUAUCACAUUUGAUAUAUCUCAUGAGCAUUUGAUAUAUGUUUAUUGCUACUAUUCUUCUAAACGAGUGUGACUUUUUUUGUUUAAAUAUCUCAAGAGCAUUUGAUAUAUGUUUAUUGUUGCUAUUCCUUUUUCUCUUUUUAUCAUUAGACAAAAUCAUGUUCUGAAAGACUGCUAUGGAAAGGAAAGUGUAGUGCAAGCAGAUCUAGGUCUUGUGCCAAAAGAUGCAAAGCUUGAUAAGUAUGCUAUCAGCUGUAUAUUUAUGUUUCUUCUUGUUUAUCUAGUCACCUCUAGAAAGUCAUUUUCCAGCUAUCAUCUCUGUUAUCAAAUUUCGGGAAUCAGAUGCUUCAGAGCAGCAGAUUCUGCAUUGGAGAAAUUGAAGAUAGUGCCAUCGACAUGGAAUAAUAGGUCGAAGAAAAGGAUGCCUUGUUGAACCAGACGACGGUGGCCAAUGCGCAAUGGGGGGUCAAGGUGCACAAUGCCCCUAGGGAGAGUACCCAGACCAGGAGGCUGAAAUUGCCAUGCGGUCAGCAUUGGAGAGAACUGAACCUUUGGCAGAACUUGAGGGCGGUGACGCAGUGGACUCUCUAACACACGCUCAAAGCAUGAAGGUGCCAGGACAAAGGAGGAGAACUAGACUCACGCCUGGCAGGACACUGCCCUGACUUUCGAGCUGGUACGGGAAAAGAGAACCUAGGUUGGUCUCUUCAAGCAAAAAAUGCAGUUGAUGUUGCCCACGCUAGCCAGGGCCAGUGACUGCAUACCAACCAGGGAGGGCAUUCCGCCACCAGUGGACCCAAGGAAUGCCCUCAACAAGUCAUUACAACACUUGUCUCCUAAGUAAAGGUGAGUACAUUUCAAGCAUGGCCAGUGCUUCACGUGCGGAGCCAAAUGGGGACGGCUACAUGAGUGUAAGCAGCUGACGACCUGCUAGAAGAAGCCGAACCAGUGGCUCUUCCUGAGCUGCCAAAGGAGAAGGGCAGAGGUGUGAUUGUUACCUCUUCCGUCGCACAACCAGCCCUGUUAAAGGCAAACUACGGGCAGCCCACACUCUCUAUCUCCAUUUUGUGCCCGGCUGUGAGGACAACGCCUGCCAAAGAGACCCCAGCAACUGCGGUGAAUGUAAAAGGAUAUGUCGGCACUCCUGGAGCAGUUUGGCUCAUUGAGGGCAGGUUUGCUCAAGCCAUCUUGAGUCAGCAGGGGGCUCGAAUGGGGGUCAACACAGGAGGGCCCUUCUGCGCUGCCUACAGACAUUGGGAAAACAGGGUGCAGGGUCGACAGCUCCAUGCAAGCCUAUUUAUUUUUGUUGGAUGGGGGCCAGGCAUUGAACUUGACACUUGAUAGCCCUCGGCUAAAGCGACUCAGCAAGGAUUCCUCCGACCUCCUUGAAGGAAUAAGUAGGAUCCUUGAGGAGGGUGGUGAAAGGGUGACCAUAUUCAACUUGGGAACCAAUGGCCCCAUCAUGAAUGCCUUGAGUUUUGAGAGAACCACCUCAUACCAAGGUAAGGGGCAACCAGUGUGAGGCGAACAGAUGAGCCAACUGCUGAGCUGGCCAAAGAGGACAACUAGCCCACAGCUUAACAAACCACAUCAAUUCGGGUCAAAGUAAGGGGAAGAGAAACAAUUUAGAUUUCAGCAUAAGCUGCCACCAAAUUCUACUGGAUCCACUGGAGUGCAUCAUGGGCUACAAUCUAUCACUAUUCUAUUACUAUAUGUUGUUGAUAUCAUUCUUACAGGAAAUUCACAUUCAUUUAUAAUGUCAUUCCUCAUCACCGGCAGACAACAAUUUGCUAUGAAUGAUCUGGCUGAUCUGAAUUACUUCUUGGGAAUUCAAGUUGCAAGGACUUCCAAUGGCUUGUUUAUGCAUCAGUCUAGAUAUGCUCAAGACAUUAUUUCUAGAGCACAAAUGCAGCAAUGUAAAAUAGUGAGUGGACCAAUUACUGUUGGUUCCAAAUCUCCUAAGAAAAUUGAUCAUCCUUAUUCCAA